UAAGAGUUUAAUUUAAUUUAUCACCAAGUUUAACAACAUGAAAAAAGAUCAGAAUAAAAAUAAAAUAAAAUAUUUAAAAAUAAAAAUAACAAAGAAUCAGCAGGUGGGGACAAGUGGGGACAGGGGAGGAUAGGUGGGGACAGGACAGGUGGGGACAGGACAGGUGGAGACAGGUUUAGGACAGGUUUAUGACGGGUUUAGGACAGGUGGGGACAUGUGGGGACAUGUGGGGACAGGUUUAUGACAGGUUUAGGACAGGUGGGGACAUGUGGGGACAGGUUUAGGACAGGUGGGGAAAGGUGGGGACAGGUUUAGGACAGGUGGGGUCAGGUGGGGACAUGUGGGGACAGGUUUAGGACAGGUGGGGACAUGUGGGGACAGGUUUAUGACAGGUGGGGAAAGGUGGGGACAGGUGGGGUCAGGUCUAGGACAGGUGAGGACAGGUGGGGACAGGUGAGGACAGGUGGGGUCAGGUUUAGGACAGGUGGGGUCAGGUCUAGGACAGGUGGGGACAGGUGAGGACAGGUGAUGACAGGUGGGGACAGGUGAGGACAGGUGGGGACAGGUGGGGACAGGUGAGGACAGGUGGGGACAGGUGAGGACAGGUGGGGACAGGUGAGGACAGGUGAGGACAGGUGGGGACAGGUGAGGACAGGUGGGGUCAGGUUUAGGACAGGUGGGGUCAGGUUUAGGACAGGUGGGGACAGGUGGGGACAGGUGAGGACAGGUGGGGAAAGGUGGGGACAGGUUUAUGACAGGUGGGGAAAGGUGGGGACAGGUGGGGUCAGGUCUAGGACAGGUGAGGACAGGUGGGGACAGGUGAGGACAGGUGGGGUCAGGUUUAGGACAGGUGGGGACAGGUGAGGACAGGUGGGGACAGGUGAGGACAGGUGGGGACAGGUGUAAACAUGUUUAUUAAUCAUUUAACAGCUGAUUGGAUGUGAGACAAAAUUACAGUGAAUACACUUCAAAAGGUCAA